GUGCCAGCAGCCGCGGUAAUACCGGCAGCUCAAGUGAUGGCCACUCUUAUUGGGCCUAAAGCGUCCGUAGCUGGCUGCGCAAGUCCGUCGGGAAAUCCACUCGCCCAACAGGUGGGCGUCCGGCGGAAACUGUGUGGCUUGGAACCGGAAGGCUCAGAGGGUACGUCCGGGGUAGGAGUGAAAUCCCGUAAUCCCGGACGGACCACCGAUGGCGAAAGCACUCUGAGAAGACGGCUUCGACAGUGAGGGACGAAAGCUAGGGUCUCAAACCGGAUUAGAAACCCUUGUAGUCC
rnacentral:rRNA from 1 species